rnacentral:lncRNA from 1 species
UGGUAGAGUGCUUGUCUCACAUGCAUGGGGCACUGGGUUCAAUCCUCAGUACCACAUAAAUAAAUUAAAUAAAGAUAUUGUGUCCAUCUAUAACUAAAAAAAAAAUCUUAAAAUGUUAAUGUUAUGAAAGGGGGGGACAGGCUGGGAACUAUUGUUUUAAGAAGCCAUAAGGGACCUGAUAGGUAGACCUAUUUUGGAUUCUGUAUUGAGUGGGAUGGCUAUAAAGCAUAUUAAUAAAAUUUGAAUAGGCAUCACUCACUGGGACUGAUGGCGUAGCUCAGUGGUAGAGCUGUGCUUAGCAUGUCCCUAUGUUUAAUCUCUUGCACAAAAAAAAAAGUCCCAGCUCUGAUUUUGUGACUUUUUAAAAUUUGGUACUAUUAAUCCUCUGUUCCCAAACUAAAGGGAGCUGUGUAUAUGUGGGUAGGUGGAAUACAGAAGAAAAUAAAACCACAUAAUUUUCUAUUCUCUAGUAGAUAACCACUUGGAGUGGUUCACAGUCUCUUCAUUUUUAUUUUAAAUAUGUUGUACAAUGAUUUUUUUCUUUUGUAGGUUUGGAUAAAUACUUCAGACAUCAUAUUGGUUGGUCUUCGAGACUACCAGGUAAAAUUUUGAUGAUUCCAGGGAUUAUGUUUUCCAAAUGCCCAUCUGUGGAGUUAAUACAUACAUAAAGUUUUUUUAAAAGCUAAACGAUCUGUUUUCUCUUUUUUUUUAAUAUUUAAAAAGUUUUCCCCUUUUUUGGAAUGAGCCAUAAUAUAUCCUGGUGGUUUAUCGUUCUUAGAUGGUGAAAUAAAAAUAUAAUCUUACAUUUAGCCUCUUUCCCCAAGUUUUUAAAAUGUAUAAGUCUUAAAUAAAAACCUGUGAACCAUUACUGUAGGGCAUAUACUGAGUCAGGUGCCCAUCCCAGAAAAGGCAUAUAGCCUGUUAUGAGAAUAAAACAGGCAUGUGAGUAAUUACAAAAUGCAUACACUAUUGAUAUAAAUAUAUGCUUUAAAUGUAGAUGAGUACCUGGGGAAGAAAAUGGUAGUUGCCCUUUAUGAUCUGAACUUUAUGGAUCUGGGAGAUCCACUUGACUUUUACCUUUUAGAACUCAUCUCCAUUUGAUAGUAUCUGUAUUUUUAUAGUCCCAAUAAAGAAUUAUUUAAAUCAUUGGGUUCUCAACUCUGGGUGAUUUUGUCCUUCUAGGAUUUGUCAGCACCUGGAGACUUUUCUGAUUGUCACAACUGUGAGAGGUGGAUAGUGUUACUGGCAUAAUAGUUAGAGGCUGGAGGUGAUGCUGAAUAUCCUACAAGGCACAGGAUAGCAUCCCACAACGAAGAAUUAUCCUGUUCAUAAUGAUCAUUAUUGCCUUGGUUGAGAAAGCCUGCUUUAAAUUCAUAAACCAUUUUAAUAUCCAUCUUCUUCUUUUGAUCUUAACCCCAGAAGUAGGAAGAAAAAUUAAUUCCCCAUUAGAAAGGACACCAAAGUUCUGAAAGGAGUAACAUUCUGACUAGCAAUCUCCCAUGAUCCUUCUAUACCCCUGCUGCUUAAAGGGUGGCCCAGAGAUCAGUAGCAUCACUGUCUUUUGGGAUCUUGUUGGACCCUAGUCCCAAGCCUCUUUAAUCAGAUCAUGCACCUUAACAAGAUCCCAAUGGGCUGAAGUGAUCAGUUUUCUUCCUUAAUUGAGUCAUUCAUUUCAAAUGGGGAAGUGUAAACUUUAAGGCAGUAUUUGUCAGUGGAACUUUUGUAUCAGAAAUACCUAAAGAGGGGGCUGGGGUUG